CCUACGGGUGGCAGCAGUGAGGAAUAUUGGUCAAUGGGCGGGAGCCUGAACCAGCCAAGCCGCGUGAGGGAAGAAGUUACAGCGUAUCGUAAACCUCUUUUGUCAGGGAACAAAGGCGGGGACUAGUCCCCGGAUGAGGGUACCUGAAGAAAAAGCAUCGGCUAACUCCGUGCCAGCAGCCGCGGUAAUACGGAGGAUGCGAGCGUUAUCCGGAUUUAUUGGGUUAAAAGGGUGCGCAGGCGGCCUGUUAAGUCGGCGGUAAAAGCCCGGGGCCCAACCCCGGCGAGCCGGUGAAACUGGCGGGCUGGAGUUGGAGAGAAGUAUGCGGAAUGCGCGGUGUAGCGGUGAAAUGCAUAGAUAUCGCGAAGAACUCCGAUUGCGAAGGCAGCAUGCCGGAUCCACACUGACGCUGAGGCACGAAAGCGUGGGUAUCGAACAGGAUUAGAUACCCUAGUAGUC
rnacentral:rRNA from 1 species